AGAGUUUGAUUAUGGCUCAGGAUGAACGCUAGCUACAGGCUUAACACAUGCAAGUCGAGGGGCAGCAUCAUCAAAGCUUGCUUUGAUGGAUGGCGACCGGCGCACGGGUGAGUAACACGUAUCCAACCUGCCGACAACACUGGGAUAGCCUUUCGAAAGAAAGAUUAAUACCGGAUGGCAUAGUUUUCCCGCAUGGGAUAAUUAUUAAAGAAUUUCGGUUGUCGAUGGGGAUGCGUUCCAUUAGGCAGUUGGCGGGGUAACGGCCCACCAAACCAACGAUGGAUAGGGGUUCUGAGAGGAAGGUCCCCCACAUUGGAACUGAGACACGGUCCAA
rnacentral:rRNA from 1 species